rnacentral:rRNA from 1 species
UACGUAGGGGGGCAAGCGUUGUCCGGAUUCAUUGGGCGUAAAGAGCGUGUAGGCGGCCAGGUAGGUCGGUUGUGAAAACUGGAGGCUCAACCUUCAGAGGUCGACCGAAACCAUCUGGCUAGAGUCCGGGAGAGGAGAGUGGAAUUCCUGGUGUAGCGGUGAAAUGCGCAGAUAUCAGGAAGAACACCCGUGGCGAAAGCGGCUCUCUGGACAGUUCCUGACGCUGAGGCACGAAGGUCAGGGAGCAAACGGG